rnacentral:lncRNA from 1 species
AAAAUUAACCAGGUGCUCCGCAGGGCGCAGCUUUAUACGACCGCAGAGGUCGAACCCUGAACAGUUGGGGCAAGUAUGGACAAAACAUUCAAGCGUGAUACAGCUCUGAAUUUGGAUUGUGAUCAAAUUUUUGACAUUACAUGGUGUUUUUUUACACAAAACAAAUGUCAAGAUUUUACAAAUUUUACAAUUAAAGAUUUCUUCUUCAAACUUUUUAAAUCUAAAAUUAAAUAGUUGACACAGCAUAGGUUUCUGACACAGAAUGAAUGUGGUCUAAUGAACUUAAAAGUUUGUUUUUGCCUUUUAGCAAUUCACUAUGCUGUUGAAUAUUAAUCCUCUCAAAAAAAUGUUUGAAGAAAUUUUCUUUUUAUUUAUGAAAUCUGAAAUGAGAAAAAUUUACCCCCCCCCCUUUUUUCA